UACCGCCCCGGUGGCGCACCUGAAGGCGUUUCAACAGCCGCACCGCUGUUUUCGUCUUCCUGCUGCCUGUGCGUGGAUAUCGACGCGUGUGCAGCGCCGAGGACCGAUGUGGGAGCGGUCGCGCUGCACCCCUCGGGCGGCCGGAGAGCGCCUUUUAAUUCGGGUGUCCAGUCUGAACCUCCUCCUCCUCCUCCUCUCCGCAAGGUGGCGCUGCGGGACUGCGGCACGCGGCUCGCUCAUGGGGGGGGGGGGGCGGAUUCCCAGCAGGAUGGGGGGGUUCAAAUAUUGUCACCUCGUGCGACGUCAAUUGAACCACGGCGACAUGAUAUCACCUACAGCCUCAAUAUAAUCACCCUCACCUGCGGGACCAGCAGGUGCGGGAGAAAAGUAAAAGAGGCGCCUACAUCUUAAAUCUUCCAUAAAAUAAUAAAAAAAAUGCAACGAUUUGCUUUUAAGGGUGCGGCGCACAUCCAUCUGACGGAACAGCGAUCCCGGCGCCAUUCGCGGUGGCGAAUACUGAAGCUGCUCUCGCCAGGCGUGACGUGCCCCCCCGUCACACACGCAGACCCCGGGGCGUGGCGUGGCGUGGCGUGGCGGCGUUUCUGCAGGAAACCCUCGGCCGAGUCACACGGGGCAGGACCGGGGGAGAGCCGGGAGGUCAGUGCGUCGGAAAUCGCAGCAAAGAGACCCGUCUGACACCCGGACCAGCGGGGCCCGUUGUGUCUCCGGGGCUGUGUCUCUCCAAGACACGCGUGUGGGUGGGCCCUGCUCGUCCUCGUCACGCACCCCCCUCCCGUCUCUCCCGGGGGCGGGGCCGCGGUGACCUCAUGCGCGUUAUAAAUAGUCCCGCACGCCGAGGCUAAGAAUAGCCCGGUAUAAAAGGCGCUGAGCUCCGCGCUGAGCUCACUCCAGCACAGGGGCUGGGAGUCAGGAGUGAUCGGGACAGGAGGCGGCGGAUGAGUGCAGCUCUCUCGAAGUCUGUCUGUCCUCCCGGCCCGGGGCGCAGAGCUGCUUCUCCCCGGGGUGGGUGUGACCUCCUGCCGGCGCUGGAGGAGGAGGAGGAGGGGAGGUUAAUCGCUUCCUUCCUGCCCGACGGCCGCCAUGAAACCGACUGAAGCGUCUCUCCCCUCGCUGUCGCCCUGUCAAACAGCGGGCCUUUAUUUCUCCGUCUUCUCGCCCAGAUCAAGACACCAAGUAGUUUUAACUCCCGCCCGCCUCUGGAAGGAUCUUCCUGACCGCAUUGCAAUCGCCGCUCCAGUAGAUCGAUGCUUUUAAAUCUCGCCUUCUACUUAACAUGUUUUAAAUUCUU